AAUAUUUUUUAUUGGUCCAUUCAGUCAGGACCGAUAGUUAGUUGCACAUGUGAGGUUCUAUCUAUAAAUUUCAAUGAAUGUGUAAUUGCAAUGGUGUAAGUAUUGUUUCGGACGAUUCAUCGGAUGUUUGUUUGAUCUCGAAUUACUAUUGGAUCGAGAUACAUUUUUUUCCUCAUAUGGAGGUUACAAAUUGAAUUUCUUAGUGGAUGCACACGUAAGGAGCCACUAUUUGCUUAAUUACGAUGACUUAUCUACCCUCUAUUUCUAAUUUUAUGUGUCCGAUAGUGAUUGUAUACAGACUAUUUUUCCAAAUUUGUUAUUGAGCUACAUAACUUACAAAACGGAACAAAUGCACGGAAUAGAUUACUAAAAUAGGCAACCAAUUCUAUACGAAUUUCUUUUAAAUGAUAAUCUGCGUCUUCUAUGGAAACCGUAACUGAAUUAAGUAUUUGCUGUCAAAAAUUAAGGUUAGCUAUUAGUCUUCAUUUUUAUUAUUAGCUUCUAAUUGUGAUGUUUUAAUCCAAAGAUGUAUAGAAAAGGCGCUAAAGUUGAAUAUUAACAUGGCAUCCGGAUAGUAACGCGUUUGUCGCGUGUAGCGUUGGUUGCCUACAUCCAUCUCCUACUCCAUGCAUUUGAUCUUUUUUUUUAAUAUGCAUACCCAUAUGUACACAUUUAAGAAAAAUUCCCUGUAUAUAGGAAUAGCAGGUCCUGAGGAUCUGUUGACGUUCUACCUACAUCAACGAUUAUGGUGCGCCGUUUUACUAUUUAUUAUACAUUUAUAACGUAUAUGAAGAUAUUUAAAUAACAAUUGAAUUGUUACCAACAAAUUCAACAUCUCAAAAAAAUGUUAGCCAAAUGUAUGCAAAUGUAAGAAAUGUUAAUAUGGAUUUCAGCGUUUGAAUCCUAAAACACUACAAGAUGACAGAGAUGAAUAUUAAACAUUGCCAAUUUAAUUGUCAUGCAUCAAAAUAAAUAGCAAUUUCUAUAAAAGAUUUAAACACAUAAGGCAUUUAUUUGGAACUGUCCAGCUAUACCAGAAGUGAAAUACAUUUGCUGCUGUGUGUAAUUGAAUUGAUAUUAAAUAAAAUUGAGUCGAGUAUGUUUGCAUCCAAAAAAAAAUGUAAACCAUUCUCAUGCGUAUAUCAAAUUAAAUCGCAUGCAUUGAAAUUCGUAUAUAUGCACUUUAAAGAACAAACGUUAUUCACGUAUGGGAUUAAAAUAGAUACCCGUUGCGACAUUACCUAUGGAAAUGAAAUUAUUCGUAAGGUAUGGCAUAAAAAUUAAAUCGAAGUUUAAGAUGUAGCAUUGAAUUCCAAUGAAUUUAAUAGUGCAUCUUUUAAUUCAAAUGAACGUCGAAUUAUUUUGUGAAUCAUUUCUAUGCGAUACACCGCAUUAAAAUACAGCGCAUUUUAAGUGUGCUUAUACAUACAAUGGAAAUUCGGUCUGCAUAAAAUGUAUCGCAUAAGAAUGAGACACAAAUUUAAUGUAUCAAAUGGAAAUGGUAUGAAUGAAAAUUACUCUGCAUGCAAAUGCGCAGUUACGUUAGAGAAGGAAAGUAGCCGUAGGUCUUAGGUACGUUUUAUUUGCGGUUGCGCAAAAACAAAACAGCUGUUAUUGAUUGUUACUUACAUCGAACGUGUAAAUGGAUUAUUUAUACGUUCAUCAAUUUUGAGAAGGCAAGCGAUUUAUUGGGUUAUUUACGUCGGUCACACGUGACCUUUACAGUUUUUACGUACAUAUUCGGAUUUGCACCUGCUGCACAAUAUUGUUUAAUAUAAAGCAAGAAAAAGGCCGAUGGAAAUCGAAAGAUGUGCAAGAGGCGCCGGGUCCCCUUAACAAUAAAUUGGAGGUGUACGCUGUCGCUAUAAAAAUAGUUACAGGUUCGUGGGAAUUAAUAAUGGAUAAAGAGUCCAGAGAUAAACCGUGUUAAUGGAACGAAGCUCAUGUUCUACGACUCUUGUAAGGAACAAGCACAUCGACAAGUUGAUGCUCCUUCGUAAUGGAAAUUAUGUCGAGUUCAAUCGUGAUAUAUCUACUAACACGAUUAGUUAAAUAUGUAAUCUCCAUUGAAUGAGAGAUUUGUAUAUUUACAAGAUGCUAAUACAUGUACCUGUGUAGAAACACGAGCACGUGAGACAUUGUUAGACACGUAUCUCGUUCUGUUUGAUGGGUGCACCGUAGUAUGUAAACGAAGACGUGUCAUUCGCUAACAAAGUUACACAAAUAUUGUCAACAAAAUUUGUAUCCUGAUAAUUAAACGAUUAUCCUAUUCGUCA